rnacentral:lncRNA from 1 species
CUGGCUUGGAAUAUCGCAAGUCUGAAAUCCUCUCUUACCUGAAAGAAUUUGGGUUCAAGUUUCUCACCUUCCAGGGAAGUGACCUAACUGGCACCUAAAGGAUAUUCUGGUAGUGCAGAGACUAGAGCCAGCUCCAGGAUCUCCCCUGCCAUUUUGUCCACUGGUACCUGAAACUCCUCUACUUCAAUCAGUCAGUCUUACAGUUGUAAGAAGUUCUCUUGUGUGCUGGAGAGAGGUGUCCCAGACUGAGGAUGCUCAGCUGAUCUUCUAUACAGUAGAUUCCUCAGCUGAACACUUCUGCUGGCACUUCAGGCUGACAGAUUUGUCGGUGGAAGGCAGAACAAGAGAAAGCCAGGAUGAUGCUGGGCCUGGAAGAGGGACAGAGAGGAAAUACUCUACUGAUUUUCAUUACAACAUUUGAUCCCAACUUGAUAACAAAAAGGACAGUAACUCAUUGUACCACUACUAAUAUUGAACACUGCUUGGAUUUAAAAAAAAAGACCUCUGGCAAUGCUUGAAUCAGCAAAUCAGGAAAAAUUUAAGAAU